GAUGAACGCUAGCUACAGGCUUAACACAUGCAAGUCGAGGGGAAACGACAUCGAAAGCUUGCUUUUGAUGGGCGUCGACCGGCGCACGGGGGAGUAACGCGUAUCCAACCUGCCCAUCAAUUGGGAAUAACCUUGCGAAAUUAAGACUAAUACCCAAUGAUAUCCCACGAAGGCAUCGGAAUGGGAUUAAAGAUUUAUCGGUGAUGGAUGGGGAUGCGUCUGAUUAGCUUGUUGGCGGGGUAACGGCCCACCAAGGCAACGAUCAGUAGGGGUUCUGAGAGGAAGGUCCCCAGAGUUGGAACUGAGACACGGUGCAAAAUACUACGGGAGGAAGCAGUGAGGAAUAUUGGUCAAUGGGCGAGAGCCUGAACCAGCAAAGUAGCGUGCAGGAAGACGGCCCUAUGGGUUGUAAACUGCUUUUAUAAGGGAAUAAAGUGGGUCACGUGUGACUUUUUGCAUGUACCUUAUGAAUAAGGACCGGCUAAUUCCGUG
rnacentral:rRNA from 1 species